rnacentral:rRNA from 1 species
GAUGAACGCUAGCUACAGGCUUAACACAUGCAAGUCGCGGGACGGGCGCACGGGUGAGUAACGCGUAUCCAACCUGCCAUUCACCACGGGAUAACCCGGCGAGAGUCGGACUAAUACCCGAUGGUGAGGGGUGGGGAUGCGUCCGAUUAGCUUGACGGCGGGGUAACGGCCCACCGUGGCUACGAUCGGUAGGGGUGCUGAGAGGGAGGGCCCCCACACUGGAACUGAGACACGGUCCAGACUCCUACGGGAGGCAGCAGUGAGGAAUAUUGGUCAAUGGGCGUAAGCCUGAACCAGCCAAGUAGCGUGCAGGACGACGGCCUAUGGGUUGUAAACUGCUUUUAUGCGGGGAUAGGUACCGCAUGAAUAAGCACCGGCUAACUACGUGCCAGCAGCCGCGGUAAUUC